rnacentral:piRNA from 1 species
UGGAAGCAAGUAAGUUGUCUA